rnacentral:rRNA from 1 species
GGUUAAGCGACUAAGCGUACACGGUGGAUGCCCUGGCAGUCAGAGGCGAUGAAGGGCGUGCUAAUCUGCGAUAAGCGCCGGUAAGGUGAUAUGAACCGUUAUAACCGGCGAUACCCGAAUGGGGAAACCCAGUGUGAUUCGUCACACUAUCAUUAACUGAAUCCAUAGGUUAAUGAGGCGAACCGGGGGAACUGAAACAUCUAAGUACCCCGAGGAAAAGAAAUCAACCGAGAUUCCCCCAGUAGCGGCGAGCGAACGGGGAGGAGCCCAGAGCCUGAAUCAGCAUGUGUGUUAGUGGAAGCGUCUGGAAAGGCGCGCGAUACAGGGUGACAGCCCCGUACACAAAAGCGCAUGUGCUGUGAGCUCGAUGAGUAGGGCGGGACACGUGGUAUCCUGUCUGAAUAUGGGGGGACCAUCCUCCAAGGCUAAAUACUCCUGACUGACCGAUAGUGAACCAGUACCGUGAGGGAAAGGCGAAAAGAACCCCGGCGAGGGGAGUGAAAAAGAACCUGAAACCGUGUACGUACAAGCAGUGGGAGCACAGGUUUACC